rnacentral:rRNA from 1 species
GUCCACGCCGUAAACGAUGGAUACUAGCUGUUGGGAGCAAUCUCAGUGGCUAAGCGAAAGUGAUAAGUAUCCCACCUGGGGAGUACGUUCGCAAGAAUGAAACUCAAAGGAAUUGACGGGGGCCCGCACAAGCGGUGGAGCAUGUGGUUUAAUUCGAUGAUACGCGAGGAACCUUACCAAGGCUUAAAUGUAGAUUGACAGGUUUGGAAACAGACUUUUCUUCGGACAAUUUACAAGGUGCUGCAUGGUUGUCGU